rnacentral:rRNA from 1 species
UGUUAGCGGCGGACGGGUGAGUAACACGUGGGUAACCUGCCUGUAAGACUGGGAUAACUCCGGGAAACCGGGGCUAAUACCGGAUGCUUGUUUGAACCGCAUGGUUCAAACAUAAAAGGUGGCUUCGGCUACCACUUACAGAUGGACCCGCGGCGCAUUAGCUAGUUGGUGAGGUAAUGGCUCACCAAGGCAACGAUGCGUAGCCGACCUGAGAGGGUGAUCGGCCACACUGGGACUGAGACACGGCCCAGACUCCUACGGGAGGCAGCAGUAGGGAAUCUUCCGCAAUGGACGAAAGUCUGACGGAGCAACGCCGCGUGAGUGAUGAAGGUUUUCGGAUCGUAAAGCUCUGUUGUUAGGGAAGAACAAGUGCCGUUCAAAUAGGGCGGCACCUUGACGGUACCUAACCAGAAAGCCACGGCUAACUACGUGCCAGCAGCCGCGGUAAUACGUAGGUGGCAAGCGUUGUCCGGAAUUAUUGGGCGUAAAGGGCUCGCAGGCGGUUUCUUAAGUCUGAUGUGAAAGCCCCCGGCUCAACCGGGGAGGGUCAUUGGAAACUGGGGAACUUGAGUGCAGAAGAGGAGAGUGGAAUUCCACGUGUAGCGGUGAAAUGCGUAGAGAUGUGGAGGAACACCAGUGGCGAAGGCGACUCUCUGGUCUGUAACUGACGCUGAGGAGCGAAAGCGUGGG